rnacentral:rRNA from 1 species
CAGCAGCCGCGGUAAUACGUAGGGGGCAAGCGUUGUCCGGAAUUAUUGGGCGUAAAGCGCGCGCAGGCGGUCAUGUAAGUCUGGUGUUUAAUCCCGGGGCUCAACCCCGGAUCGCACUGGAAACUGGGUGACUUGAGUGCAGAAGAGGAGAGUGGAAUUCCACGUGUAGCGGUGAAAUGCGUAGAGAUGUGGAGGAACACCAGUGGCGAAGGCGACUCUCUGGGCUGUAACUGACGCUGAGGCGCGAAAGCGUGGGGAGCAAACAGGAUUAGAUACCCCGGUAGUCCCUGUCUCUUAUACA